AACGUUCUGAGCCAGGACUGGUCACCUGGGACGCCGAACCCCUCUCACGGUGAUGCUAGUGGAAGAGGGGGCGAGACAGCUCAGGAUUGUGAGGAGGUGGUUGUCGGCAGGAUUGGAUGUGACCAAUAGCCUCAUUCUUCUCAACUCUGAAAUAAAUGUUGCAUCUUCAAGGAG